GCGGGUGUAGCUUAAUGGCAAAGCCCCGGCUUCCCAAGCCGGUCAUGUGGGUUCGAUUCCCAUCACUCGCUCCA
rnacentral:tRNA from 1 species